rnacentral:rRNA from 1 species
GUGGGGAAUAUUGGACAAUGGGCGAAAGCCUGAUCCAGCCAUGCCGCGUGUGUGAAGAAGGUCUUCGGAUUGUAAAGCACUUUAAGUUGGGAGGAAGGGCAGUAAGUUAAUACCUUGCUGUUUUGACGUUACCAACAGAAUAAGCACCGGCUAACUUCGUGCCAGCAGCCGCGGUAAUACGAAGGGUGCAAGCGUUAAUCGGAAUUACUGGGCGUAAAGCGCGCGUAGGUGGUUCAGCAAGUUGGAGGUGAAAUCCCCGGGCUCAACCUGGGAAGUGCCUCCAAAACUACUGAGCUAGAGUACGGUAGAGGGUAGUGGAAUUUCCUGUGUAGCGGUGAAAUGCGUAGAUAUAGGAAGGAACACCAGUGGCGAAGGCGACUACCUGGACUGAUACUGACACUGAGGUGCGAAAGCGUGGGGAGCAAACAGGAUUAGAUACCCCUGUAGUCC